CAUUAGGUGGCUGAAAGUAAGCAAUGGAAUUUUAAAUCAUUAUAUAGCAUAGUCACGUAUGCUUCUAAUGA
rnacentral:tRNA from 1 species